GGCUAAGCUUUUUAUCCUUAAGUGACACCAUCUGUUCUGACAGACAGUUUUAUAAAAUUUGAAUAAGGUGACCUGGAUAAAGCAUGCCUGUUAUAUGGAAAUGCCAGUGUCAUAUGUGGAUGUGAAAAGGUUGUGGAUGGUUCACACAUCAAGCACUUUCAGCGUCUCAUCGUAAAAGGCCACACAAGCCUUUUCUGACAGGCCACAACACAAAGCCAUGCUUUUGAUAACAAUGCUGCAAUAAGUCUUCCACUAUCUUACAAAGACCUUGCAGAUGGCAUUCAUACUCCUUAAAGUAUUAAAAUGUAGAGGUAACUUUUUAACAUAUGAAGUAAUGGUCCAUCCUCCCCCCUUUAUAAUAAAACCUCAUCACUGUACAAGGACCAGCAGCAAGGACAUAAAUAUGUCUCUGCUGACAGGUCUACUGAUCACCUGGUUAAUGGCAACAAACAAGGCCUGCAGACUGGAUUAUCAUUUGGUGGUCUCUGGAAAAGAGCACCAGCAGAGAAGACCAUGGUGGGUCAAUGUGAACUGACCUUCCUCUUUCUCCAGCCAAGAGGCUUCUGUCUGAACCUGGACUAGAGCAAAACACAAUUGUCAUCUCCUUUUUUUCCUACUUUUCCUCACCUGUCCUGACCAUGGGCAGCCUCCGUUCCAGCAAAGAUUCCAGGAACAUGACAAGGCUGGUUCUAUACCAUGGUUGAAGGGCACUGGCAAAGUGCAGGCAGCAGUAUUUAUGAACCUACCUGGCAUCUCACUUCAUGUUUUAUCAGUGCAUUCAGUCCCUUCUUUUGGAAAGCCUUAACCCAUCCACAAACAAGAGAUAAAACAUUUCACUGCUUUUCUCUGAGCUUGUAAGAGAGCAGAGCACUCAUUUUUUAAAGUAAUUUAUAGGGAUAAUCAAGUGGUUUUUAGCAAGUCAUGAAUGCAGAGCGGUAUGUAAUUAUAUUUGUCUGUUUUUAUGAGUGUUUGGACAUAAACUUCACUGAUAUAUAGAGAGGACAAUUUUUAACUGUAGUAUGCGCCAUCUGCAAACUACUUGCUACAGGAUGUCAAUUAGACUGGAUGUUAAUUAUUUUAAGAUUACAUGUUUCUAGAAAUAGUUCCAAUAAAGGAAGUUUUUCUAUUUUUUUAAUUAAAAAACCACAACCAAUCAACCAAACCACAAAAAAACCAACCCAUGAAACAAUAGGUUCUGUUUCUCAAAGAUGCGUUAAUACUAAAUAUUGGAAGGAAGCUGCUGCCCCCUCUUGGCACCACACACAAAUGCAAGUACUUUGCACGGAAAAAGAAGAUUCUGGUCACAAAUCGCAAUUACCAAGUAAUAGACCGGUUUGGAAGUGGAAGACAGCAUAAAAACUGACACAGCCCCAGGUACACUUGCCUACUUACCCAGACCAUUCAAGAUAACCCCAUUAACUUAGUAAGAUGUGGGGGUCAUAAUACAUAGAAUUGCCAUCUUAUUAAAAAAAAAAAAAAGUUUGUAAUAUGUGACCUGGAUUUAAAAUACUAUUUAAAAUAAUACUUAAAGGAGCACCCUAAUUCUGCUAAUUCUUCUUCCUAAAUUGCCUUGUAGCACCCCACAUCUCUCACAAAUUAGGAGAACACCUAAACUGCCACACUGGAUAAAAAAGGAAGAUCAAAUAAAUGAAAGCCUGCAGUAGCAGUCAAUUACAGCUAUACAGAAAUCCCCCUUUAUCAUUUAUAGAAAGUCAGUUUAUCUGUUCCAAGCCACCCUCGGAAGCUGAGGGUACCCACUGCAGGGUUUAAACUGUAGCACCCAUGGGGAAUCCCUUCUCACAGAACCACAGACUACCAUGCAAAUUAUAAAUAAAAGCAGGAGGAACCAGUGCAUUUAUAUGGGCAUAACUAAAAGGCUUCACUUCUACAAGAGGAUCAGCUUGGGCAACCUAUAGCAACCUUCUUCCCUGACCUUCAGCAGAAGAAGUGUCAAUAAUGGCAAACUCUCUACAGGUUGUUCCAGCAGGAAUUGAAUAGGGACACUCCAUUUCUUACUGGAAGGGAAAGCAUUCAACUCAAGGACAUUUCCAGCAGUGUAAGCCCAGUGGACCAAAUAUAUAACUAUUCCAGUUCAGGAGCAGGGCCUUUAAUCCAUUCCCCUAAAGAAAUUGAUGACAGAAACACUUGGGCAACCGCAAGUAAAGUGACAUUAGAAAAAAUAUUUUCAUGGGAAUCCGACUUAUUUGACAGAAGUAAUACUGAUGCAAAUAUUUAGACAGUUCAUAGGCAAAUUAAGAUUUAAUCAAAAGGAUUUACAAAGAUUUAUAUAUAUAUUUGAAGACUUGCAGUUUUAACAGAAGUUACCAGCUGUCUCCCAAGCACCCCUGACUUCUAGCACUACAGGCAAUCAAAACAUGUCUGUGAAUGCCUGGACUUUCACUUUUCUUUAUAUUUUUCUAAUCUCCUGAUUGAGACCCAGCCAUUGAAAACCAGGCAGCAGAGAGCUGAUGGCCCCACAACUGAUACAGGAGAAGCUGGGGAACCAGCUAAGGCUGCAGUGCUUUUGCAUUUCAAAAAGGAAAUUUGAAGAAAUGCAGAUGGGAAUUGUGAUCACUAUCUCCAGUAGAAAGUUACAAAGAAAAACUGUAACCAGUUCUCCUGGGAUCAAUACAUGGACUUUCAAAUAACCCCUCAUAAGGGACUGGAAGAGCAUACUCCUACAGAGCCUUCAAAACAUCGGUAGCUCCAAUGUUUAACCUAGGUAGAGCUGGAAAACACAAGCCUUAGCACAUGAGGCAGAAGGCUGACAGACACACCAAAUAAUUUAGACAGCUGAUUGAAUCAAACACUUGUAAAGAGUGUGGAAAAUUUACCCCAAUGACUUAAAGUUUUCACCUAGGAAUUAAAAAUCUUUGAAAAAUACUACUUGGCCUUUUUCAACCAUUUGACUCAGAAGCAUCAAAUCCUACACAGGAUCAGGCAUCGUAAGCAGAUUCCAAAGUACAUCUGUGGGAAGGGAAGAUCUGGUGAACAGAGUAGCUAGGACAAGGCUACUCUGAAGCAUUAAAAGCAAUAUGAGAAAAGAAAAUCCAUGAGAAAAGAAAAUCCAAAGAAAUUUAUUAUUUUUCUUUCAAAGUCAGCAUGUUUUCCACUUCUCAAUUCCUCAGUUCCCUUACAACUGCAAAACUUCUAAAGAAUUGGGAACUGUGUCCUAUUGGAAAAGACACGCUGGACAAGGAGAUAUUUUCCAAUUAUUGUAGUGUAAGUUCAUGCUUAUAAAGGCAAGCUUGAAAUACGUUAGCUCAUUUUUUUUUUCAGACCAUUGAGCUAAGGUUUUAAUCAGCAAAACCUUACACAUAUCCUAAGUCAGGACACUUUCUCUUCUGGUAAUGUGUGGAUCUCUGGGGAAAAAUGCAGAGGACUCUUCAGUAACCACAGUCACUGGGAGCAGCCUCUGAGGUUUUUCAGUAGGACACUGGAACACAAAGACAUUUUGAAUGAUCUUCUUUGACCUCAGCUAACAUAAAGAAGUAAUUUUGUUUCUCCUCUAUCAUCUUCAUUCAUAGCUGCCUCUAUUCCUCAUUUUUUUACAACAGCUCUAGCUAGAUUUCUCCCCUUUCCCUCUUCCUUCCAUCUGCUGAAGUCACCCAUAUCUAAACCCUCCUAAAAAUUUUAAAGCUAAAAAAUAAAUAGUUAACAGUUUCAACCCUCACCAAUUGUACAUUCUACAUCUUUUCAUCCAACAUGACUCAGCCUUGUCUAUUGAGACAGUUCCUACGCUCACAGUUUUCUGCCCUCUGCUUACACACUCCCAAUAAGCACUUACCAUAAUUAUACUACUACCAGUUACCACAGCACUGCCUUUCACUUGAGCUCUCUGCUCAUUCAGAUGAACUUCAUGCUUUAGGGUGAGACGACUACUCCAGGAUAGGUGAGAGAUUAUUUCUUUUACAAUAUAAUUUAAAACACAAAAUAGACACUCAAUCUGAACAAAAGGAGUUAAACAUCAGGACUAAAAGUUGUAACUUAAAAGGAAGUGUUUUCUAACUCCAGUGGAAAACUUUUAAUAUUUCAAAAUGCAUGGAAAACAAACACCACCAAAAAAAAAACCAAAAAAAAA
rnacentral:lncRNA from 1 species